UUCCGGUUGAUCCCGCCAGAGGUCACUGCUAUCGGUGUUCGACUAAGCCAUGCGAGUCAAAUGUUCUUCGUGAACAUGGCGUACUGCUCAGUAACACGUGGAUAACCUGCCCUUAGGUCUGGCAUAACCCCGGGAAACUGGGGAUAAUUCCGGAUAGAUCAUCGAUGCUGGAAUGCGCUUUGAUCCAAAGCUAUUGUGCCUAAGGAUGGGUCUGCGGUCUAUCAGGCUGUAGUGGGUGUAAUGUACCUACUAGCCUACGACGGAUACGGGUUGUGGGAGCAAGAGCCCGGAGAUGGAUUCUGAGACAUGAAUCCAGGCCCUACGGGGCGCAGCAGGCGCGAAAACUUUACAAUGCGGGGAACCGCGAUAAGGGGACACCGAGUGCCAGCAUCCUAUGUUGGCUGUCCAUAUGUCUAAAUCACAUGUGUUAGCAAGGGCCGGGCAAGACCGGUGCCAGCCGCCGCGGUAACACCGGCGGCCCGAGUGGUGGCCACUAUUAUUGGGUCUAAAGGGUCCGUAGCCGGUUUGGUCAGUCUUCCGGGAAAUCUGACGGCUCAGCCGUUAGGCUUUCGGGGGAUACUACCAGGCUUGGGACCGGGAGAGGUAAGAGGUACUACGGGGGUAGGAGUGAAAUCUUGUAAUCCCUGUGGGACCACCAGUGGCGAAGGCGUCUUACCAGAACGGGUCCGACGGUGAGGGACGAAAGCUGGGGGCACGAACCGGAUUAGAUACCCGGGUAGUCCCAGCUGUAAACUAUGCUCGCUAGGUGUCAGGGACGGUGCGACCGUUUCUGGUGCCGCAGGGAAGCCGUGAAGCGAGCCACCUGGGAAGAACGGCCGCAAGGCUGAAACUUAAAGGAAUUGGCGGGGGAGCACCACAACGGGUGGAGCUUGCGGUUUAAUUGGAUUCAACGCCGGGA
rnacentral:rRNA from 1 species